AGUGAACGCUGGCGGUAGGCCUAACACAUGCAAGUCGAACGGCAGCACAGUAAGAGCUUGCUCUUACGGGUGGCGAGUGGCGGACGGGUGAGGAAUACAUCGGAAUCUACUUUUUCGUGGGGGAUAACGUAGGGAAACUUACGCUAAUACCGCAUACGACCUACGGGUGAAAGCAGGGGAUCUUCGGACCUUGCGCGAUUGAAUGAGCCGAUGUCGGAUUAGCUAGUUGGCGGGGUAAAGGCCCACCAAGGCGACGAUCCGUAGCUGGUCUGAGGGGAUGAUCCGCCACACUGGAGCUGAGCCACGGCCCAGACUCCUACGGGAGGCCGCAGUGGGGAAUAUUGGACAAUGGGCGCAAGCCUGCUCCAGCCAUACCGCGUGGGUGAAGAAGGCCUUCGGGUUGUAAAGCCCUUUUGUUGGGAAAGAAAAGCAGCAGGUUAAUACCCCGCUGUUCUGACGGUACCCAAAGAAUAAGCACCGGCUAACUUCGU
rnacentral:rRNA from 1 species